rnacentral:rRNA from 1 species
CGUACACUCCUGCGGGAGGCAGCAGUGGGGAAUAUUGGACAAUGGGCGCAAGCCUGAUCCAGCCAUGCCGCGUGAGUGAUGAAGGCCCUAGGGUUGUAAAGCUCUUUCACCGGUGAAGAUAAUGACGGUAACCGGAGAAGAAGCCCCGGCUAACUUCGUGCCAGCAGCCGCGGUAAUACGAAGGGGGCUAGCGUUGUUCGGAUUUACUGGGCGUAAAGCGCACGUAGGCGGACUAUUAAGUCAGGGGUGAAAUCCCGGGGCUCAACCCCGGAACUGCCUUUGAUACUGGUAGUCUUGAGUUCGAGAGAGGUGAGUGGAAUUCCGAGUGUAGAGGUGAAAUUCGUAGAUAUUCGGAGGAACACCAGUGGCGAAGGCGGCUCACUGGCUCGAUACUGACGCUGAGGUGCGAAAGCGUGGGGGGCAAACAGGAUUAGAUACCCUAGUAGUCCCAUGA